AAGGGAACAAAACAGCUUUCAAAACAACAUUGUGGAUGGGAGAGAAGCGGGGAGGUACGAAUAAGGGGUCUAGGCUUCACCCUAGGCUGCCAGGAAGGAUCAGUCACUCUCCCCAGUAAAUUAAGGAAAGUCCAGAAAGAAGAGAGAGUGAUUUCGGGAAGCAGUAGGGGUGGACAGAAGAGGUACCCUCCUCCCCCUUGGACUUGGAAAAACAGAGCCAGCACUCUCCUGGCCAUGAGUCAGAAAGUGGAGCUGUAGGGGGUGGCUGCAGAACCACAGGGUACAUUUUUUCACUCUUUCAUUAUGUCACCUUAAAGAAAUUAAGUAAAACUGCCAGUAAGGAAAAAAGAAAGCUAAUAGUGGGGAUAUUGCUCAAAGGCAGAAAAUUAGUUAAACAUUACAUUGGGGUUUCACAACAGGUUGGUGUACUGAUUUUCUCACAGCUCCUUAAUGAGUCUUGGAAAAAAAGAUAUAAUUUUAAUGUGGUCUUGAUUGCUUUAUUCUCAGGUCAGCCUGAGAAUUUUCUCAUGACGUUAAUUAUUCAUUUUUGUAAGAAGCCUGCAUAAAUAAAAGUACAAGUACCGGGUGUCCAGUGUGGCAUUUCAGGAGCUUGGAGAAAGAGGAUAGAGAAGGUGAGAGCUGGGGGAAAAUUGAGAGGUGGCCAGAAAGAGAGGCUUUGGUCAUUUCCAGAGUCAUGGAGUUGCAGAGAACUAGCUUUAGGCAUUGCAUGUAAUUUAAUGUUCUUCAAUGUCCUGUAGCCUAAGACCACCUGGAACACACCUGUAGUCAACAAAGUUAGGCUGAUUAACGCCACAGCAAGGGAAACUGCACGCUGUGGGGAAGCUUGAGGCAUCUCAAAAGGGUGGAUUAAGACAAGGGCACCCAAUAAAGCUUUGGGGGCUGGAGUUAGUCACAGGAUGGUGUUGGCAGGAUUUCAUCAGAUUCUGUAAACUGGGGAGUUUCUGGAAAAGUAAGUGGUCUUAUCUUUGGGAUUCACAAGUCUGUGUGGAGUUACUGACAGGUCAAUUUCUCUAUGGUCUUAUCUGGGAACAAAUGGGCCUGAAAGAGCUGGUGUUUCAAGGUUUGAACUUAGAUCGUCUGUGAUGCCCACCACGGUGUGGUCGGGAGAAAUUGGCCUGCUUCGAAACUGAGGCUUAUGUUUUGAAAAUUGUGGUUUCUGUUUUCAUUCUCGGUCCCUGUCAUCUCUCUGCCAACAUGAACCCCAGUCUGCCAGUCUACCUUUUUCAUUUACUCACUAUUUUUCUAUCCCAUCGUUAUGGUUAUUCUACUGACAUGCUACAUGUAACAUAAAGAGCCCUACAGCUGCAUAACCUCCUGAGAGAGGGCUUCUUUAGUUUGCAAUGGAGAACUGGAGAUGGUGCUCAUUCACAGAUAUCUAACACUCGGUAAGUCAUCUUGUUUGACCACUCCCUCCUCACAGGUCUGUGCCUUAACUGUGCAUGUGAAAUAUUAUAUAUCUUAGAUUUAAGAAACAAUUUGGCUCAACAAAUGACAGUAUCAGGGAGCUAUUAUGAGUUCUAAGAACUACUGUCCUCCUGCUAUAGGUCCAGACAAGACUUUAGCAUGGCAGGCUGCCUCCUAGGGCUGGGUAGUCAAGAAGGGCUGAUAGUGGGUGAGCUAGUCAAGAAGCGCAGCAAAAUGAUGGUGAAAUACCACUUCAUACUUACUAGGAUGGCUACUAUUAAAAAAGAACACACACACAGAAAAUAACAGAUGUGGGCAAGCAUGUGGAGAGAUUGGAACCCUUGGACACUGUUGGUGGGAAUGUAAAAUGGUGCAGCUAUAAUGGAAAACAAUACGGUGGAACUUCUAAAAAAUAAAAAUAGAAUUACCAUAUGAUCCAGUAAUUCCACUCUGGGAUAUACCAGAAUUGAAAGAAUUGAAAGGAAGAUCUUGAAGAGAUAUUUAUAUAACGAUGUUCAUUGCAGCAUUAUUUACCUUAGCCAAAAGGUACAAGCAAAUCAAGUGUUCAUUGAUGCACGAAUAAAAAAGCAAAAUGUGGCAUAUCCAUACAAUGGAAUAUAAUUCAGCUAUAAGAAGGAAUAAAAUGCUGACAUCUGUUAUAACAUGGCUGGACCUUGAUGACAUUAUGCCAAGUGAAAGUAGCCAGACAUAAAAGACUACAUCGUGUAUGAUUCCACUAACAUGAAGUACUUACAGCAUUCAAAUUCAUAAGGACACAAAGUAGAAUGGUGGUUUCCAGGGGCUUGGGGGCAAAGGGGAACAGAGAGUUAUUGCUUAAUGGUUAUACAGAGUUUGGGGAAGAUGAAAAUGUUUUAGAGAUAUGUUGGUUAUGGUUGCACAACAAUGUGAGUGUACUUAAUGCCACUAAACUCUACAUUUAAAAUGGCUGAAAUGUUACAUUUUCUGUUACAUAUAUUUCAUCAUAAUUGGAACAAUGUUUUUAAAGCUAAAAAAAAAAAAAGUCUAGCAGGAGAAGAACCCACAGGUAGCACAAACCCAAGUCCUUGGAGGAGGCUAGACACUGUGACUAAGCAAAUCACAUUCAUAUACCAGAUCAAGGGGCAGGGAAUGGGGCCCAACACUGAGGUCAGGAGCUGGUUGGUGUUAGAACAGAUGAUUCAAGGGAUUCGCUAAAGGAUUCUCUUUGUUGCCUGACUUUAGUGCAUUGCAGGGGUGAGUCAGACUCCAGGAUGCAAAAUCAGAGCAGAUAAGGGUUUUCCUUCUUCUUUUUCUCCCUCUCUUCAAGAAUAUUCAGUGGAGAUUUUAAACAGCCUAGAAUUCUCUAGUAAAGUGGUUUGGGGAAUAGAAUUAUAGACUUCAUCCUCUAAGCCCAUUGAAUUCUUCCCCAUCAUAAGCAGAGCCAGAUACAAGUGAGCACAUAACUUCUCAUGUUAGUGAGAAGCUAUUGAUUAUGGCUGGGACAUACGGCAAAACCAACAUUUCUCUCUCUAAUGCUAGUGUUGGGAGCUUUCAAAUCUAGAAGGACCAGCUGUGGUAUAUAGACAUCAGAAGAGGGGUGGUUAAGGUAGGGAGCCCCUAGAGCAAGUAAAAGUUAUAAAUCUAGGCAGGCAGUCAGAGUCAGGGGUGUUCCCAGGAGAGUUAUUAGAUCUCCAGCAAGGAAACACAGAUCAUGGGUCCAAGGAAGAGCCAGAGGGAGUGGAGUUUUAAAGAAGCCAGACUUUCGGUGCUGGUGUGUUUCAUGCUCUGUAUCUUUUCUCUCCUGUACCUCAUCUUGGUUCUUUGAAGGCUUUCUGGGUUUAAGGGAAUGUCUCCAGUUUGGGGAAAUGCUGGGUCCACUUUCUGCACUCUUUCUUGGGAGAGAAGAAAGAAAAACAACCCAAUAAAGAGAGAAUGACCUAAGAGAUAUCUCAAAAGACCAGGGACCAAAAGCGGAGAUUCCCAAAAAAACAUUCUGAGAAAGCAGAAAUAGUCAACGCUUUGCCCUUCCAUGGGAAGUUCCACUCUCUGAACGUGUUGGUCACUGGUUUGCUUUCUUCUCAGGGGUGACACAAGGCAUGCAGAAACCCUCGAGGUCCCCUGGAGGGCAGAGUAAACCAUCAACAACAGGUAGUCAGAGCCCAGCCUUAUGGUCUGGAAUUAAGCAUCUAGAAGGAUAGGGAUGACAGGGGGAGGGCAAGAACAGUUAGGACCUCGCUUCUGGAGUAGCUAGAAAAACAUGGAGAGAUGGAAACAAACCAAGGACUGGGACAUGAGGGAAGACAAGCUAGAAGCCCACUUGCCGGGACCAAUUUAUCACAUUAAUAUGGACUAGCCAAGAGGCUGACAAUGCUGUGUCCUUUUGGAGCAAUUAAAGAAAUUCCUGACUGACUCUAACUCAGGAGCAUCUGAAAAUGACCUGGAACCGGAAGACAGUAAAGGUCAUAAAUGAUGUACCUUUUACAUCUGGCAGAGGGCCAGGACAGUUCUGGGGUUCAUAUUUCUCUCCUUCUCUACUCUGAGGUUUAUACGGCCCCCCCACCGCCCCCAAGGUAAGUGUUUCUAAAGUUCUCAUGGAUUUCCUGUUAGAAUCCAACAAGUUGCAUUUACUGCUUUUCAAUCUUCAGCAUCUUCUUUGUGGCUGGGGUAAAGAAGCUCACUGUGGACUCUCAUUCAGUCUUGGGUGCAUUGGGCAACCUCUGGGAAAAGCACUGCUCUGAUGAACAGGGGAAUGAAUGACCACUGCCACACAGGCAGGUUUGGGGAGCUGCAGGCCAUCCUGUUCGGUGCUGGUGUGCUAGCUAUGGGGGUAAACAAAGGCAAAGAGGUUCUCAGGUCGGGGUGGUGGGUGGAUAGAGAGAGGAAUGUGAAAGAGAGAGAUCUAAACAGAAAAGCUUGCCAGAAAUUCAGAAAAAAAAAACCCACCUUUUAAUUCUGUAGUUCCCAAUAUUCACAGCUGUUAUAAAGCUCACAUUUGGGCUAAUUCCACAAGUUAUUAAUCAUCCACUGCUCGCUAUAUUGGACUUGUGGAUCACAUCAGAGCUCCACAAGCAAUUAAAAGUCCUCCUUUGCUUGUGAAAUGGCCUAACUAUAAAUCUCAGGAGGGUCAGCCCUGUUCUUCACCUGAGAUACCUGGAAGUCAUGCUGACCUCCACUCAUCCAUCCCAUGAACAGGUCGAAGGAUUUGGCAACAUGCUGAACAAGCUUUGUCCUGGGUCCUUGGGAGGGGUUGGAGGUGGGGCGAGGCAGUACUAUGGUCUCUUUCAUAAGUAAACCUUUGCAGUCUCUAAUAUUUUAUACUAUCUCUUUCAUUCACACUUAAAAUAGUAUGAGGAACCUACUUCGUGUCCUGCCAUGCCAGGCAUGGAUGAUUCUGAGAUGAAUAAAACACAGUCCUUGCCCUGGGGAAGCUAAUGGUCGGGGUAAGAAACAGGCACGUCAAAGCUUACAAUUUAGUGUCAUCGUUGCUGUACAGAUGGAGGCACUAAGUCCUGUGCGGUCAUGACAAAGGAUGCAAGUAACUCUACGUGUUGGGCCAUAAGAAAAGGCUUUGUAGAGAGAAGGUCUAUGCAACUCAGGCUUUUACCAGUACAAGGGAUUUCAGCAGGAGAAAAGUCUGGAGGGAGAAGCUAUGAAGCAGAGGGAACCACAGUGCACACAGAGGCAUGGAAGAUUCCCGAAGACAGUGGCUGCAGCAGAGGGUGUCUGGCAAGAGAGGAUGGAGUUGAGGCUGGAAAGCUGCAGUGUAGGAAGAGGUUGUUGCCAUGUGUGUAUAUUUUCUGCAGAAGAAAAGAAAAGCACUACUUCUAGGGUGAUAUUAUGUUGUAUGUAGAGAAAACUCUGGGACACCAUGCAGAAGUGGGAUGUGGGAUAGAAAACUUAGGCUGGAGAACUGAUGCUAUUAACUGUAAAUUCCAUUUCAUUAUCAGCAACAAAUAUUUAUGCAGCCUCUGGAGGGAAGGAAGUCCCACAGUCAGUGAUGAGUGGAAGAUACAGAGGCCAAACAAAAGGCACAGUCCUUGAGUCAUUGUGUUUGCAAUUUAAGAUGCACACACUGGGAUGAAACACAAGAGAAUGAAUAGUGAGACAGAUGUAACGCUUUUGCUAAACAACUCUUAUCUACAAAGCUUUGCUAUGCUUUUGUAUUUUGUUGGCAUCUUAGCACAUUGGCUUUCAAAUGUUUUUGACCAUAACCAAAAGUUAGAAAUAUAUUUUCAUGCCAUGAUCCAGAAUCCAUAAAAAAAUUUCACCGAGUACUAUUGAGAUACACUCUGAUAUUUUACAGGCUAUUACGUUUUAAUUUUUUUUUAAUGCUGGUUUCUGACCCUCUAAAUUGAUUCUGUGACCCACUGUUGGGUUAUAACUGUUGGCUUGAAAAUUCCGGCUUUCCCAUGUCUUGGAGGGGGAAAUGUUGGAGGAAAUGGAACAGAUGGGGGAGUGAAAGAGUGAGCGUGACUGCAGUGAGGGAAGGGACCGCAUGAGCAAUUGCCACAUCAAAUUCCCAUGACCAAAGAGGGCACUAAAUGAACAGGGCCCAGCCUGGGCCACAUAGUGAGACUCUGCCUCUACAAAAAAAAAAUAUCUAUCUAUCUAUCUAUCUAUCUAUAUAUA
rnacentral:lncRNA from 1 species